rnacentral:lncRNA from 1 species
AUCACUGCCUGAAGUAGUGAAUAAGCAAACACUGCAGCUGAGGACAUAAAUGACGGUACUUGCGGAGCUAUAAUGGGAAAAUCAAAUAAAGAAGUUCUGCCUUUAUCCUUAACCUUGGAUAUUCCUCAAGAUUGCUGUUCAGAACUGUGUCUUUUCCAGUCUGCUCUAAAGCUGGCAUGGCCCCAGAUUAGAAGGACAACUGGCCUAAUUCAGAUGAGCUGAUCCUUUUAUCUGUACUGCCAACAUGGUACUCUACUGUUGGAUAUGAAAGGAAACUCACAACCACCCUAUGAGAAUUUACUGAAUAUUCAAAUGAUAUCAAGGUAAGAACAUUAUGCUCAAAAAGGUCUUGUCGAAUCAGCUUUGGAUAUCCAAAUUAAAAACAUUUUUUAAGGAAGACAAACGUUGUAAUUACCAUAUU